rnacentral:rRNA from 1 species
CUGUAGAGGGGGGUAGAAUUUCAGGUGUAGCGGUAAAAUGCGUAGAGAUCUGAAGGAAUACCAGUGGCGAAGGCGGCCCCCUGGACAGAUACUGACACUCAGAUGCGAAAGCGUGGGGAGCAAACAGGAUUAGAUACCCUGGUAGUCCACGCCGUAUACGAUGUCUACUUGGAGGUUGUGGCCUUGAGCCGUGGCUUUCGGAGCUAACGCGUUAAGUAGACCGCCUGGGGAGUACGGUCGCAAGAUUAAAACUCAAAUGAAUUGACGGGGGCCCGCACAAGCGGUGGAGCAUGUGGUUUAAUUCGAUGCAACGCGAAGAACCUUACCUACUCUUGACAUCUACAGAAGCUAGCGGAGACGCAGGUGUGCCUUCGGGAACUGUAAGACAGGUGCUGCAUGGCUGUCGUCAGCUCGUGUUGUGAAAUGUUGGGUUAAGUCCCGCAACGAGCGCAAUCCUUAUCCUUGUUUGCCAGCACUUCGGGUGGGAACUCCAGGGAGACUGCCGGUGAUAAACCGGAGGAAGGUGGGGACGACGUCAAGUCAUCAUGGCCCUUACGAGUAGGGCUACACACGUGCUACAAUGGCGCAUACAGAGGGCGGCCAACUUGCGAAAGUGAGCGAAUCCCAAAAAGUGCGUCGUAGUCCGGAUUGGAGUCUGCAACUCGACUCCAUGAAGUCGGAAUCGCUAGUAAUCGUGGAUCAGAAUGCCACGGUGAAUACGUUCCCGGGCCUUGUACACACCGCCCGUCACACCAUGGGAGUGGGCUGCAAAAGAAGUGGGUAGUUUAACCUUCGGGAGGACGCUCACCACUGUGUGGUUCAUGACUGGGGUGAAGUCGUAACAAGGUAACCG